AUUGAACGCUGGCGGAAUGCUUUACACAUGCAAGUCGAGCGGCAGCGCGGUCUUCGGACUGGCGGCGAGCGGCGAACGGGUGAGUAAUACAUCGGAACAUGCCCAGUCGUGGGGGAUAACACUUCGAAAGAAGUGCUAAUACCGCAUACGUCCUGAGGGAGAAAGCGGGGGAUCGCAAGACCUCGCGCGAGGGAGUGGCCGAUGUCAGAUUAGCUAGUUGGUGGGGUAAAGGCCUACCAAGGCAACGAUCUGUAGCUGGUCUGAGAGGAUGAUCAGCCACACUGGGACUGAGACACGGCCCAGACUCCUACGGGAGGCAGCAGUGGGGAAUUUUGGACAAUGGGGGCAACCCUGAUCCAGCCAUUCCGCGUGAGUGAAGAAGGCCUUCGGGUUGUAAAGCUCUUUCGGCAGGAACGAAACGGCGAGCUCUAACAUAGCUCGCUAAUGACGGUACCUGAAGAAGAAGCACCGGCUAACUACGUGCCAGCCGCCGCGGUAACAC
rnacentral:rRNA from 1 species